GGGACUACAGGCGCCCGCCAUCACGCCCGGCUGCUUUUUUUGUUUUAGUAGAGAGGAGGUUUCACCGUGUUAGCCAGGAUGGUCUCAAUCUCCUGACCUCGUGAUCCGCCCGCCUCGGCCUCUCAAAGUGCUGGGAUUACACGCGUGAGCCACCGCGCCUGGCCUGAAGAAAGUUAAUAGGAAGAAGAAAAGCUUUUUGAAUGAAUCACUUCUCAUCUUCUCCGAAGUUGGAAGCAUCAAGAAUCUAAAUAAGCAUUUAUGAUGGCUGGCAUGAAUAUACAGGUGAAGACAGAACAAGAAAACAAACCAAGAAUUUCCCCUCACCAGCCACCAGCUCUGCCAGCAACUUGAUCUUAGACUUCCCAGCCUCCGUAACGUCUUCCUCCUAAAAACCUGUAACCUCAAUCUAAUCAUGAGAAAAGACAUCAGGCAAAUCCCAACUGAGGGAGAUUUUACAUAGUACCUGAGCAGUACUCCUCAAAACUGUCAAGGUCAUCAAAAACAAAGAAGUAUGAAAAACUGUCACAGCCAAGAGGAACUUAAGGAAACAUAAUAAUUAAAGCCUCUGCUUAUAAUCUGUCAUGGAUUGGAAAACUAGAAAAAACAGUUUACAGAGUAUAACAAACUUUGGAGGAGUUAAUCGACUCUAAGUAAAAGAGUAUCUAGCACGGCUGUGGAACAAAGGAGAGACUCACAAACUGUUGAAAGAAUAAAUGAAUGAAUGAAUUCUGUUCAUGAGCUUUAAUAAAACAGCUCUGAGUAGUAACAGUGGAUCAAAUUUAGGCUUCUUGAUGCAGGCAUGGUGUAGAUUACUACUUCUGUAUUGUCCCAGGAGCUCAGCACAUUCCUGCAGAGAUGAUAGGAGCUCAUCUGAUACUUGUCAGCUUUGAAUAAACUCCAGUCCCCAAGAGAGAGAAUGAGAAUCACCGGAAUACGAAACUUCCCUGUUGGACUUCCCAACAUUCUUGAAUGCACCAAGAUAGCCUCUUGCUGUGAGAUUAAUAAAUGAAUAAAUGCCUCCAUAUUUUUCAAAUCUGUGAAGUUAACAACAUGUAGAUUUUUUUGCAUAUUUAAAAACUGCAACUAAAUCUUAAUGCCUCUGAAGCAGAUGGAAGAAAAUAAUAGGCUUCCAUUAACUGUGUCAAAUUGUAUAGGUCUUGGCCAUCACUGGUCCUGUUGUGAUGAAGGUUUUUUGCCCUUGGAUAUAAUUUAAUUUUCAAUUCUUCUAAUUAUGGUACUUCAGAACAUCAAUAUUUGAGAUGAACUUCUCUAGUGUCAAGGACUGAUUUGAGUUGUGUAAACCCUGAAUAUCUGAGACAGGUCUCGAUUAUUUUAGAAAGUUUAUUUUGCCAAGGUUGAGGAUGUGUGCCUGUGACACGGCCUCGGGAGGUCCUGAGGACAUGUGCUCAAGGUGGUCAGAGCACAGCUUUGCUUUAUACAUUUUAGAGAGACAUGAGACAUCAACCGACAUAUGUAAGAUGAACAUUGGUUCCAUCUGGAAAGGCGAGACAACUUCAAACGAGGAGGGGGCUUCCAGGUCAUAGGUAGAUAAGAGACAAAUGGCUGCAUUCUUUUGAGUUUCUGAUUAGCCUUUCCAAAGGAGGCAAUUAGAGUGAGCAAAAUGAACAAAAUCAAUUAUUUUGAUUCUGAACAAAAUGGGAGGCUGGUUUUCCCUAAGCAGUUCCCAGCUUGACUUUUCCCUUUAGCUGAGGGAUUUGGGGGGCCCAAGAUUUAUUUUUCUUUCACCGUUGUAUCAAACUACACAGGCGGCCUUGGAAACCAUCACAGUUGAGAGUAGGUAACGCCCAUUUGUUGCAUAGUUUUGUGCUCCACACUCUUAUCUACAAAAUUAUGAAUUUUUUUACAUAUAUUAAUUUCAGAAAAACUAAAAAUAAAACAAAGUAGUUUCAAACUAGUAUUGUUUUUAUAUCUUAAAAAUAAAGCUUUAUAUACUCUCCUUAC
rnacentral:lncRNA from 1 species